UACGUAGGCAGCAAGCGUUGUUCGGAGUUACUGGGCGUAAAGGGUGUGUAGGCGGUUCUUUAAGUUUGGUGUGAAAUCUCCCGGCUCAACUGGGAGGGUGCGCCGAAUACUGAGGGACUAGAGUACGGGAGAGGAAAGUGGAAUUCCUGGUGUAGCGGUGAAAUGCGCAGAUAUCAGGAGGAACACCGGUGGUGUAGACGGCUUUCUGGACCGUAACUGACGCUGAGACACGAAAGCGUGGGUAGCAAACAGG
rnacentral:rRNA from 1 species